AAGUAACAAAAGCGUGAGGCACCUGGAAUCAGCAGCAUUUGUGCCUAAUGCCAGCAACAAUAUAAAGCAUUCAAGUGACAUUUGAUAAUGAGCAGACAGUGGAGGCAUUACACACGUCUUUAGAAGAAUCAGACUUCCUACCUUGAAAAGACAGAUGGAGGUUUCCACCACUGACCAAGGAUAUUGGACGAUUUUCAUCUCUUCCCUUCCCUCCGAUGACAUGAGGUUCCAUUUAAUAGUCCCACUUGGAAGCAGAUUGACAAAGCAGGAUUGAGCGUUGACCGAUUACAUCUGGAAUUUUGUCCACCCACAGGUAGAAGCAAUUGCCGAUAGCAGAAGGAGGAGAAGGCUCAACAUGGCUGUAUUGCAUCCACAAUGUUCAUCUCUGGCCAGGCACUCAGUUUCUAUCUAAAAACCAACUAGUGUGUUUCCUGGCACCUUUUCCAAGUUGUUGCUUUUAGCAUCCUCUCUGUAUCAUGCACUGAACACAGUAUACCCUCAGUAACUCAUUUAAUGUCACAAAUUUAGCAGCACUCAAAGAAUUAUUCAUCUCUUGGAAUAAUGCACCUCAGCAAGGCUUGAAACUGAGCUAAAAUGGGAUUUUUUUAAACCCAGAUUAUCAGUGGAUGUAAUACCCAAGAGUUGUC
rnacentral:lncRNA from 1 species